AUUUGUUGGGACAAAAGUUGUCUGAUGGACAUCUGCUGCUUAGCAGUGGGGCUUGUUUAGCAGUUUCUCUCUCAACUUGUCCCUCUCCUACUGUCCCACAGACAUGCUGCCCGUCAUCAUGCAGAAAGAGGAGA